UGGGGAAUAUUGCACAAUGGGCGCAAGCCUGAUGCAGCCAUGCCACGUGUAUGAAGAAGGCCUUCGGGUUGUAAAGUACUUUCAGCGAGGAGGAAGGCGUUGUGGUUAAUAACCGCAACGAUUGACGUUACUCGCAGAAGAAGCACCGGCUAACUCCGUGCCAGCAGCCGCGGUAAUACGGAGGGUGCAAGCGUUAAUCGGAAUUACUGGGCGUAAAGCGCACGCAGGCGGUCUGUCAAGUCGGAUGUGAAAUCCCCGGGCUCAACCUGGGAACUGCAUCCGAAACUGGCAGGCUAGAGUCUUGUAGAGGGGGGUAGAAUUCCAGGUGUAGCGGUGAAAUGCGUAGAGAUCUGGAGGAAUACCGGUGGCGAAGGCGGCCCCCUGGACAAAGACUGACGCUCAGGUGCGAAAGCGUGGGGAGCAAACA
rnacentral:rRNA from 1 species